rfam:Picoides pubescens contig65048, whole genome shotgun sequence.
GUUAAAAGCUAGGGCUAGGACUCGGAGGAUGUGUAGGCAAACGGAAGGCGAGCCAGGGGAAGAAAAACCGAAAUGGAUUCAUUCUCUGUCCUGGAUGGAGGAGGAGAGGAGAGAGAAGGGGACGUGCGAGCUUCCUUCAACUGCCUCUGUCCGGUGAAAAGUGCUCAGACCCCCGGGGCUGAGCCGGGCUCAGGAGUCCUCGCGGACUUUCGCUUUAAGCUGCCAAUCAAACCGCUCACUAGCCACCACCCUGCUCUGGCACCGACAU